rnacentral:rRNA from 1 species
AGAGUUUGAUCCUGGCUCAGAUUGAACGCUGGCGGCAGGCCUAACACAUGCAAGUCGGACGGUAGCACAGAGGAGCUUGCUCCUUGGGUGACGAGUGGCGGACGGGUGAGUAAUGUCUGGGGAUCUGCCCGAUAGAGGGGGAUAACCACUGGAAACGGUGGCUAAUACCGCAUAACGUCGCAAGACCAAAGAGGGGGACCUUCGGGCCUCUCACUAUCGGAUGAACCCAGAUGGGAUUAGCUAGUAGGCGGGGUAAUGGCCCACCUAGGCGACGAUCCCUAGCUGGUCUGAGAGGAUGACCAGCCACACUGGAACUGAGACACGGUCCAGACUCCUACGGGAGGCAGCAGUGGGGAAUAUUGGACAAUGGGCGAAAGCCUGAUCCAGCCAUGCCGCGUGUGUGAAGAAGGUCUUCGGAUUGUAAAGCACUUUAAGUUGGGAGGAAGGGCAGUAAGCGAAUACCUUGCUGUUUUGACGUUACCGACAGAAUAAGCACCGGCUAACUCUGUGCCAGCAGCCGCGGUAAU